rnacentral:rRNA from 1 species
AUACGAAGGGUGCAAGCGUUACUCGGAAUUACUGGGCGUAAAGCGUGCGUAGGUGGUUAUUUAAGUCCGUUGUGAAAGCCCUGGGCUCAACCUGGGAACUGCAGUGGAUACUGGAUGACUAGAAUGUGGUAGAGGGUAGCGGAAUUCCUGGUGUAGCAGUGAAAUGCGUAGAGAUCAGGAGGAACAUCCAUGGCGAAGGCAGCUACCUGGACCAACAUUGACACUGAGGCACGAAAGCGUGGGGAGCAAACAGGAUUAGAUACCCUGGUAGUCCACGCCCUAAACGAUGCGAACUGGAUGUUGGGUGCAAUUUGGCACGCAGUAUCGAAGCUAACGCGUUAAGUUCGCCGCCUGGGGAGUACGGUCGCAAGACUGA